rnacentral:rRNA from 1 species
AUUGAACGCUGGCGGAAUGCUUUACACAUGCAAGUCGAGCGGCAGCACGGGGGCAACCCUGGUGGCGAGCGGCGAACGGGUGAGUAAUACAUCGGAACAUGCCCAGUCGUGGGGGAUAACACUUCGAAAGAAGUGCUAAUACCGCAUACGUCCUGAGGGAGAAAGCGGGGGAUCUUCGGACCUCGCGCGAUUGGAGUGGCCGAUGUCAGAUUAGCUAGUUGGUGGGGUAAAGGCCUACCAAGGCAACGAUCUGUAGCUGGUCUGAGAGGAUGAUCAGCCACACUGGGACUGAGACACGGCCCAGACUCCUACGGGAGGCAGCAGUGGGGAAUAUUGGACAAUGGGGGCAACCCUGAUCCAGCCACGCCGCGUGAGUGAUGAAGGCCUUCGGGUCGUAAAGCUCUGUGGGGAGGGACGAACGUCCCGUUGAAGAAACGGGGGUGACGGUACCUCCUUAGCAAGCACCGGCUAACUUCGUGCCAGCCGCCGCGGUAAGAC